rnacentral:rRNA from 1 species
AUUGAACGCUGGCGGCAUGCCUUACACAUGCAAGUCGAACGGCAGCACGGGAGCAAUCCUGGUGGCGAGUGGCGAACGGGUGAGUAAUAUAUCGGAACGUGCCCAGUCGUGGGGGAUAACGCAGCGAAAGCUGUGCUAAUACCGCAUACGAUCUAAGGAUGAAAGCGGGGGAUCGCAAGACCUCGCGCGAUUGGAGCGGCCGAUGUCAGAUUAGCUAGUUGGUGGGGUAAAGGCCCACCAAGGCGACGAUCUGUAGCUGGUCUGAGAGGACGGCCAGCCACACUGGACCGGUGACACGGUCCAGACUCCUACGGGAGGCAGCAGUGGGGAAGUUUGGACAAUGGGCGCAAGCCUGAUCCAGCAAUGCCGCGUGCAGGAUGAAGGCCUUCGGGUUGUAAACUGCUUUUGUACGGAACGAAACGGCCCUUUCUAAUACAGGGGGCUAAUGACGGUACCGUAAGAAUAAGCACCGGCUAACUACGUGCCAGCCGCCGCCGUAACAC